UUGUAACGGUUAUCACUCUGGACUUUGAAUCCAGCAAUCCGAGUUCAAAUCUCGG
rnacentral:tRNA from 1 species